GAUUAACGCUAGCGGCAGGCCUAAUACAUGCAAGUCGAACGGUAACAGGUGUAGCAAUACAUGCUGACGAGUGGCGCACGGGUGCGUAACACGUAUGCAACCUACCUAUAACUGGGGAAUAGCCUUCCGAAAGGAAGAUUAACACCGCAUAACAUCACGAAACGGCAUCGUUUUGUGAUCAAACCUCCGGGGGUUAUAGAUGGGCAUGCGUAACAUUAGCUAGUUGGUGAGGUAAUGGCUCACCAAGGCUACGAUGUUUAGGGGGUCUGAGAGGAUGAUCCCCCACACUGGUACUGAGACACGGACCAGACUCCUACGGGAGGCAGCAGUAAGGAAUAUUGGACAAUGGGGGCAACCCUGAUCCAGCCAUGCCGCGUGAAGGAUGAAGGCCCUCUGGGUUGUAAACUUCUUUUGUACGGGAAUAAACCCCUUUACGUGUAGAGGGUUGAAUGUACCGUAAGAAUAAGGAUCGGCUAACUUCGUGCCAGCCGCCGCAGUAACAC
rnacentral:rRNA from 1 species